UACAGAGGUCUCAAGCGUUGUUCGGAUUCAUUGGGCGUAAAGGGUGCGUAGGUGGCGAGGUUAGUCAGGUGUGAAAUCUCGGGGCUCAACCCCGAAACUGCACUUGAUACUGCCUUGCUAGAGUACUGGAGAGGAGAUUGGAAUUUACGGUGUAGCAGUGAAAUGCGUAGAUAUCGUAAGGAAGACCAGUGGCGAAGGCGAAUCUCUGGACAGUUACUGACACUGAGGCAGCG
rnacentral:rRNA from 1 species